GAUGAACGCUAGCUACAGGCUUAACACAUGCAAGUCGAGGGGAAACGAUAGAGAAAGCUUGCUUUUUCUAGGCGUCGACCGGCGCACGGGUGAGUAACGCGUAUCCAACCUGCCCAUCACUUGGGGAUAACCUUGCGAAAGUAAGACUAAUACCCAAUGACGUCUCUAGAAGACAUCUGAAGGAGAUUAAAGAUUUAUCGGUGAUGGAUGGGGAUGCGUCUGAUUAGCUUGUUGGCGGGGUAACGGCCCACCAAGGCGACGAUCAGUAGGGGUUCUGAGAGGAAGGCCCCCCCACAUUGGAACUGAGACACGGUCCAAACUCCUACGGGAGGCAGCAGUGAGGAAUAUUGGUCAAUGGACGAGAGUCUGAACCAGCCAAGUAGCGUGCAGGAUGACGGCCCUAUGGGUUGUAAACUGCUUUUAUAAGGGAAUAAAGUGAGUCUCGUGAGACUUUUUGCAUGUACCUUAUGAAUAAGGACCGGCU
rnacentral:rRNA from 1 species